rnacentral:rRNA from 1 species
GAUGAACGCUGGCGGCGUGCUUAACACAUGCAAGUCGAACGAAGCAUUUAAGACAGAUUACUUCGGUUUGAAGUCUUUUAUGACUGAGUGGCGGACGGGUGAGUAACGCGUGGGUAACCUGCCUCAUACAGGGGGAUAGCAGCUGGAAACGGCUGGUAAUACCGCAUAAGCGCACAGUACCACAUGGUACAGUGUGAAAAACUCCGGUGGUAUGAGAUGGACCCGCGUCUGAUUAGCUAGUUGGCGGGGUAACGGCCCACCAAGGCGACGAUCAGUAGCCGACCUGAGAGGGUGACCGGCCACAUUGGGACUGAGAUACGGCCCAGACUCCUACGGGAGGCAGCAGUGGGGAAUAUUGCACAAUGGAGGAAACUCUGAUGCAGCGACGCCGCGUGAGUGAAGAAGUAGUUCGCUAUGUAAAGCUCUAUCAGCAGGGAAGAUAGUGACGGCACCUGACUAAGAAGCUCCGGCUAAAUACGUGCCAGCCGCCGCAGUAA